rnacentral:lncRNA from 1 species
UGAAUUUCACCGAGGUAAGUGGAUGGUGAAGGAUUUAUUAUUGAUAAAAGAAUUUGUUGUAAAUUAUGCUCCAUUGGUCUUUUUGUGUUUUCUACCCACCUUUACCUCCGUGACGGUGAGAUAUCGUGAUGUCUUUACUGGGCUAGUGUAGCUCAUUCCUUAUUUAAUCAUUUCAGAUCAGGAAGACAUUGUUCCCGAGCCCGUUUCGCAGGAGGACGACGAAGGGGACGCCUAAAGACUCCAUAGUCAUAUUCGUAGCUUUUACUUUCGAGUUUCUCCUCUAGGUAGUUUGAUCUUUUAUAUUUUGUGAGCACGUUUUUGGUUUUAGUGUAAGGGAUGUUAAUCGAAUUUUUAACUUCGUUUCCGCAUUUGAUAUUUUUAAUACACAUUUCAUUUUAAAUUUCCGGGGCCGUUA